CCUGCUCCGUCGCCCCAGUGUUCAGACUACCUGUUCAGGACAAUGCUGUUGUACAGUAGUCUGCACAUUGGUUAGACUGGGCAAGG
ensembl:miRNA